AAUCUUCCGGCCGCCUGAGAUAGAAAGUACUAAAAAUGCGAAACUUGUGGGCAAUGAUUGUUUGUUUGCUUCCUCCCUAAUUAAUUAAAUUAAUCUCAAAUUCUUAAUC
rnacentral:sRNA from 1 species